GCUAGCUGGUUCUCCCCGAAAUGCGUUUUGGCGCAGCGAUAAAUGUUAUAACUUAGGGGUAAAGCACUGUUACGUAUGCGGGCUGGUAAUUCGGUACCAAAUCGUUGCAAACUAAGAAUACUAAGUGUACAGUUUAUCAGUGAGACUGUGGGGGAUAAGCUCCAUUGUCAAGAGGGAAACAGCCCAGAGCACCAGUUAAGGCCCCUAAAUAAUUACUAAGUGAUAAAGGAGGUGGGAGUGCAAAAACAAUCAGGAGGUUUGCUUAGAAGCAGCAAUCCUUUAAAGAGUGCGUAAUAGCUCACUGAUCGAGUAAACCUGCGCCGAAAAUGUACGGGACUAAGUAAUUUGCCGAAACUGUGCGAUAUAUUUGAAAUAUAUCGGUAGGGGAGCGUUCUGUUGUAGAUUGAAGUAUUAGCGUAAGCGGAUAUGGACGAAGCAGAAGUGAGAAUGUCGGCUUGAGUAACGAAAAUAUAGGUGAGAAUCCUAUACCCCGAAAACCCAAGGUUUCCUCCGGAAGGCUCGUCCGCGGAGGGUAAGUCAGGACCUAAGGCGAGGCUGAAAAGCGUAGUCGAUGGACAACGGGUUAAUAUUCCCGUACCAUUAUUUAUUGAUAACGAGGGACGGAGAAGGCUAAGCUGGCCGGAUAUUGGUUACCGGUUUAAACGUUCGAGAUGAUGAGAAACGGAGAAAACGUUUUGAGUUGAGGCGUGAGUACGAGAUGCUACGGCAUUGAAGCAGUGUAUGUCAGACUUCCAAGAAAAGCUCGCAAUGUCAUAAAUAAAUAAUGCCUGUACCAUAACCGACACAGGUGGGUAGGUAGAGUAUACUAAGGGGCGCGAGAUAACUCUCUCUAAGGAACUCGGCAAAAUGACUCCGUAACUUCGGGAGAAGGAGUGCCUUAUUUAUAAGGUUGCAAUAACAAGAUCCAAGCAACUGUUUACCAAAAACACAGGUCUCCGCUAAGUCGUAAGACGAUGUAUGGGGGCUGACGCCUGCCCAGUGCCAGAAGGUUAAAGAAGUUGGUUAGCAUUAGCGAAGCUGAUAACUGAAGCCCUGGUGAACGGCGGCCGUAACUAUAACGGUCCUAAGGUAGCGAAAUUCCUUGUCGGGUAAGUUCCGACCCGCACGAAAGGCGUAAUGAUUUGGAUACUGUCUCGGAGAGGGGCUCGGUGAAAUAGACUUGUCUGUGAAGAUGCGGACUACCUGCACCUGGACAGAAAGACCCUAUGAAGCUUUACUGUAACUUGAAAUUGAAAUUGGACUUUACUUGCGCAGUAUAGGUGGGAGGCAUUGAUUUUAUUCUUGCGGGAAUUUAGGAGCCAUCAGUGAGAUACCACUCUGGUAAUGUUAGAUUUCUAACUUUGUAUCAUAAUCUGGUCAAAGGACAGUUUCAGGCGGGCAGUUUGACUGGGGCGGUCGCCUCCCAAACGGUAACGGAGGCGUACAAAGGUUUCCUCUGAACGUGUAGAAAUCGUAUCUAGAGUGUAAAGGCAUAAGGAAGCUUGACUGUGAGACCUACAAGUCGAGCAGGGACGAAAGUCGGUCUUAGUGAUCUGACGGUGCUGAGUGGAAAGGCCGUCACUCAACGGAUAAAAGUUACUCUAGGG
rnacentral:rRNA from 1 species